rnacentral:lncRNA from 1 species
UGAUGUCAAAGAUAUCCAUAGCAGUUACGGUAAAGUUUCACAUACCUUUCCAAGUUCCCAAUUUGACACCAAUUCCAUUAGCUACCCCAUGAGCAUUUUUCUACCUCGGCAUUCACGGUCUUGACGCGAGAGUUGGUUGGAGCAAUCUUCAAUUCUAGUCUCUUCGCGGCAUCCUCAAUCACGAAAUUAUGAGUUGCUCCAGUAUCCACCAUUGCACGAGCGGGCUUGUUGUUGAUGGUGAGAUCUACGUACCGGUUUCCAUUCUCGGUAGGUUGGAUAGCUUGCUUUGUGACAGCACCAUAUAAUUCGAUCAUACCCAAUUGUGCGGUUCUCGAACUCUCUCCUUGCGGCUGCUCUUUUCGUUCACGGACCAUGGCACUGAGGCUCUUGAGGUCGGGACAAUUCCUAAAGUCGUGCGGCCCUCUGCAUAUGUAGCAUCCCUUCUUCUUGGCAUGUGCCUUCUUCUCGGCGUAGCCCUGACGACCACUCGACUUUUUGGAAUCUUGAGUCUUGAAGUAUUGUUGUUGUAUCUCCUUGACUUUGCC